AUUGAACGCUGGCGGAAUGCUUUACACAUGCAAGUCGAACGGCAGCACGGGGGCAACCCUGGUGGCGAGUGGCGAACGGGUGAGUAAUACAUCGGAACGUGCCCAGUCGUGGGGGAUAACGUAGCGAAAGUUACGCUAAUACCGCAUACGAUCUACGGAUGAAAGCGGGGGACCGUAAGGCCUCGCGCGAUUGGAGCGGCCGAUGGCAGAUUAGGUAGUUGGUGAGGUAAAGGCUUACCAAGCCGACGAUCUGUAGCUGGUCUGAGCUGACGACCAGCCACACUGGGACUGGGACACGGCCCAGACUCCUACGGGAGGCGGCAGUGGGGAAUUUUGGACAAUGGGCGCAAGCCUGAUCCAGCCAUUCCGCGUGCAGGACGAAGGCCUUCGGGUUGUAAACUGCUUUUGUACGGAACGAAAAGGCUCUGGUUAAUACCUGGGGCUCAUGACGGUACCGUAAGAAUAAGCACCGGCUAACUACGUGCCAGCCGCCGCCGUAA
rnacentral:rRNA from 1 species